GACGAACGCUGGCGGCGUGCCUAAUACAUGCAAGUCGAACGCAGUGGGGACGGGUGCGUAACACGUGGGUAACCUCCCAUCAGAGGGGAUAACACUUGGAAACAGGUGCUAAACCGAUACUGAUGGAUGGACCCGCGGGGCAGUAGCUAGUUGGUGAGGUAACGGCUCACCAAGGCCACGAUGCCUAGCCGACCUGAGAGGGUGAUCAGCAACACUGGAACUGAGACACGGCCCAGACUCCUACGGGAGGCAGCAGUAGGGAAGCUUCGGCAAUGGACGAAAGCCUGACGGAGCCAUGCCGCGUGAGUGAAGAAGGUUUUCGGAUCGUAAAACACUUUUGUUAGAGAAGCGGUAUCUAACCAGAAAGCCCCGGCUAACUACGUGCCAGCAGCCGCGGUAAUUC
rnacentral:rRNA from 1 species